GCCCCGCCGCCGCCACCGCUGCCGCCGCCGCCGCCGCCAUGGGCUGCCUCGGAAACAGUAAGACCGAGGACGAGCGCAACGAGAAGGCGCAGCGCGAGGCCAACAAAAAGAUCGAGAAGCAGCUGCAGAAGGACAAGCAGGUCUACCGGGCCACGCACCGCCUGCUGCUGCUGGCCGCUAGGAGAAUCUGGUAAAAGCACCAUCGUGAAGCAAAUGAGGAUCCUGCAUGUUAAUGGGUUUAAUGGAGAGGGCGGCGAAGAGGAGCCGCAGGCUGCAGGGAGCAACAGCGAUGGUGAGAAGGCAACCAAAGUGCAAGACAUCAAAAACAACCUGAAAGAGGCCAUUGAAACCAUCGUGGCCGCCGUGAGCAACCUGGUGCCCCCCCGUGGAGCUGGCCAACCCCGAGAACCAGUUCAGAGUGGACCACAUUCUGAGCGUGAUGAACGUGCCAGACUUUGAUUUCCCUCCCGAACUCUACGAGCACGCCAAGGCUCUGUGGGAGGACGAGGAGGGGUGCAUGCCUGCUACGAGCGCUCCAACGAGUACCAGCUCGUCGACUGCGCCCAGUACUUCCUGGACAAGAUUGACGUCAUCAAGGAGGCUGACUAGGUGCCCAGCGACCAGGACCUGCUGCGCUGCCGCGUCCUGACUUCUGGAAUCUUUGAGACCAAGUUCCAGGUGGAUAAAGUCAACUUCCACUUGUUUGACGUGGGCGGCCAGCGUGAUGAACGCCGCAAGUGGAUCCAGUGCUUCAGCGAUGUGACUGCCGUCAUCUUCGUGGUCUCCAGCAGCAGCUACAACAUGGUCAUCCGGGAGGACAACCAGACCAACCGCCUGCAGGAGGCUCUGAACCUCUUCAAGAGCAUCUGGAACAAUAGACGGCCGCGCACCAUCUCUGUGAUUCUGUUCCUCAACGAGCAAGAUCUGCCCGCUGAGAAAGUCCUUGCUGGAAACUCGAAGAUUGACGACUACUUUCCAGAAUUUGCUCGCUCAACUACUCCUGAGGAUGCAACUCCCGAGUCCGGGGAGGACCCACGCGUGACCCGGGCCAAGUACUUCAUUCGAGAUGAAGUUCUGAGAAUCAGCACUGCUAGUGGAGACGGGCGCCCCUAUUGCUACCCUCACUUCACCUGCGCUGUGGACACAGAGAACAUUUGCCUUGUGUUCAAUGACUGCCGUGACAUCAGCCAGCGCAUGCACCUCCAUCAGGAUGAGCUGCUCUAAGAAGGGAACUUCCAAAUUUAAUUAAGGCCUUAAGCACAAUUAAUUAAAAGUGAAACGUAAUUGUACACGCAGUUGAUCACCCACCACAGGGCAUGAUUAACAGAGCAACCUUUCCUUUCCCUCAAGUGAUUUUGCGAAACCCCCUUUACCCUUCACCUUGCUUAAAUAUUCCAAAUUUAGAAAGCUUAAGGCGGCCUACAGAAAAAGAUAAAGGAAAAAAAGGCCACAAACGUUCCCUCUCUCUUUAA